rnacentral:rRNA from 1 species
GGACUACCGGGGUAUCUAAUCCCGUUUGCUCCCCUGGCUUUCGUGUCUCAGUGUCAGCUCAUCCCCAGUCGCCUGUUUUCACCAUUGGCGUUCCAAACGAUAUCUACGCAUUUCACCGCUCCACCGUUUGUUCCAGCGACCCCUGGAUGGCUCAAGACACCCAGUAUGCCCAGCAAUUCCACGGUUGAGCCGUGGGAUUUCACAAGGCACUUAGGCAUCCACCUACACACGCUUUAAGCCCAGUGAUUCCGCCUAACGCUUGGCACCUCUGUCUUACCGCGGCGGCUGGCAC